UACGUAGGGGGCAAGCGUUGUCCGGAAUUAUUGGGCGUAAAGAGCGUGUAGGCGGUCCGGUAAGUCAGCUGUGAAAGUCAAGGGCUCAACCCUUGAAUGCCGGUUGAUACUGUCGGGCUAGAGUCCGGAAGAGGCGAGUGGAAUUCCCGGUGUAGCGGUGAAAUGCGCAGAUAUCAGGAGGAACACCUAUUGCGAAGGCAGCUCGCUGGGACGUAACUGACGCUGAGACGCGAAAGAGUGGGGAGCAAACAGG
rnacentral:rRNA from 1 species